rnacentral:rRNA from 1 species
AGAGUUUGAUCAUGGCUCAGGAUGAACGCUGGCGGUAUGCUUAACACAUGCAAGUCGAACGGAGUACUUCGGUACUUAGUGGCGGACGGGUGAGUAACGCGUGAGAAUCUGCCUUCAGGUUCGGGACAACCACUGGAAACGGUGGCUAAUACCGAAUGUGCAGCAAUGUGAAAAAUUUAUUGCCUGAAGAUGAGCUCGCGUCUGAUUAGCUAGUAGGUGUGGUAAGAGCGCACCUAGGCGACGAUCAGUAGCUGGUCUGAGAGGAUGAUCAGCCACACUGGGACUGAGACACGGCCCAGACUCCUACGGGAGGCAGCAGUGGGGAAUUUUCCGCAAUGGGCGAAAGCCUGACGGAGCAAUACCGCGUGAGGGAGGAAGGCUCUUGGGUUGUAAACCUCUUUUCUCAAGGAAGAAAAAAAUGACGGUACUUGAGGAAUAAGCAUCGGCUAACUCCGUGCCAGCAGCCGCGGUAAUACGGAGGAUGCAAGCGUUAUCCGGAAUGAUUGGGCGUAAAGCGUCCGCAGGUGGCUAUGUAAGUCUGCUGUUAAAGAGUCUGGCUCAACCAGAUAAAGGCAGUGGAAACUACAUGGCUAGAGUGCGUUCGGGGCAGAGGGAAUUCCUGGUGUAGCGGUGAAAUGCGUAGAGAUCAGGAAGAACACCGGUGGCGAAAGCGCUCUGCUAGGCCGCAACUGACACUGAGGGACGAAAGCUAGGGGAGCGAAUGGGAUUAGAUACCCCCGUAGUCC